rnacentral:rRNA from 1 species
UGGGGAAUAUUGCACAAUGGGCGCAAGCCUGAUGCAGCCAUGCCGCGUGUGUGAAGAAGGCCUUCGGGUUGUAAAGCACUUUCAGCGAGGAGGAAGGUGGUGAGCUUAAUACGCUCAUCAAUUGACGUUACUCGCAGAAGAAGCACCGGCUAACUCCGUGCCAGCAGCCGCGGUAAUACGGAGGGUGCAAGCGUUAAUCGGAAUUACUGGGCGUAAAGCGCACGCAGGCGGUUUGUUAAGUCAGAUGUGAAAUCCCCGGGCUCAACCUGGGAACUGCAUUUGAAACUGGCAAGCUAGAGUCUCGUAGAGGGGGGUAGAAUUCCAGGUGUAGCGGUGAAAUGCGUAGAGAUCUGGAGGAAUACCGGUGGCGAAGGCGGCCCCCUGGACGAAGACUGACGCUCAGGUGCGAAAGCGUGGGGCAGCAAACAGGAUUAGAUACCCUGGUAGUCCACGCUGUAAACGAUGUCGAUUUUGGAGGUUGUGCCCUUGAGGCGUGGCUUCCGGAGCUAACGCGUUAAAGUCGACCGCCUGGGGAGUACGGCCGCAAGGUUAAAACUCAAAGGAAUUGACGGGGUCAUAGCUGUUUCCU